rnacentral:rRNA from 1 species
UAGGGAAUCUUCGGCAAUGGACGAAAGUCUGACCGAGCAACGCCGCGUGAGUGAAGAAGGUUUUCGGAUCGUAAAACUCUGUUGUUAGAGAAGAACAAGGACGUUAGUAACUGAACGUCCCCUGACGGUAUCUAACCAGAAAGCCACGGCUAACUACGUGCCAGCAGCCGCGGUAAUACGUAGGGGGCAAGCGUUGUCCGGAUUUAUUGGGCGUAAAGCGAGCGCAGGCGGUUUCUUAAGUCUGAUGUGAAAGCCCCCGGCUCAACCGGGGAGGGUCAUUGGAAACUGGGAGACUUGAGUGCAGAAGAGGAGAGUGGAAUUCCAUGUGUAGCGGUGAAAUGCGUAGAUAUAUGGAGGAACACCAGUGGCGAAGGCGGCUCUCUGGUCUGUAACUGACGCUGAGGCUCGAAAGCGUGGGGAGCAAACAGG